rnacentral:rRNA from 1 species
GCGGAGGAAAAGAAACUAACAAGGAUUCCCCUAGUAACGGCGAGUGAAGUGGGAAAAGCUCAACUUUAAAAUCUGGCUGCUUUGCAGUCCGAGUUGUAGUCUCGAGAAGUGUUUUCCGCGUUAAACCGUGUAUGAGUCUGUUGGAAUACAGCGUCAUAGAGGGUGAGAACCCCGUUCAUGACACGGCUUUUAAUGCUUUGUGAUACGCUUUCGAUGAGUCGAGUUGUUUGGGAAUGCAGCUCAAAUUGGGUGGUAAAUUCCAUCUAAAGCUAAAUAUUGGCGGGAGACCGAUAGCAAACAAGUACCGUGAGGGAAAGAUGAAAAGCACUUUGGAAAGAGAGUUAAAAGUACGUGAAAUUGUCGAAAGGGAAACGCUUGAAGUCAGACGUGCACGGGAUUAUUCUCAUUGCAGGCCAACAUCGGUUUUGCGAGCCGGAUAAAGGUAGAAGGAAGGUAGCAGUCUCGGCUGUGUUAUAGCCUUCUACUGAAUACGGAUUGCGAGACCGAGGGACGCAGCGCGCCGCAAGGCAAAGGGUCCGCCCUUUUCGCGCUUAGGAUGUUGGUGAAAUGGCUUUAAACGACCCGUCUUGAAACACGGAC